GUGAAAUGAUCUGAAGGAUUGCUGUUAUUCAAUCAUCCCAUUUAUUUUUGCUCUGACCUUUCCCAAAGGUUCACUCACCCUUGUCCUCCGUCGAGUCAGCUGGGCUCGCCCACCUGCCCACUCCCCUUGGACUUCCCCCACGGCGUCCUCCCGGCUUUCCCUUGUGCCUUGCCAGUCAGCCUGCCACCACACUCCUUCCCCCCUCGGCCUCCUGUUUCCCCUGGCUCUCUCGCCUGGACUUCGCCUGCCUCGACAGCUCCUCGGUCCCUCACGCCCGUGUCCCCUGGUGUCCAUCUGUUCUCCACCUCCAGCCCUUUUUCCCUCAAUAAAUCGCUUAAAAUAC